ensembl:misc_RNA Metazoa_SRP Metazoan signal recognition particle RNA
GCUGGGCGUAGUGGCGCACGCCCGUAAUCCCAGCUACUUGGGAGGCUGAGGCAGGAGAAUCGCUUGAACCCGGGAGGUCGAGGUUGCAGUGAGCCGACAUCGUGCCACUGCACUCUAGCCUGGGUGACAGAACGAGACUCUGUCUCAA